rnacentral:rRNA from 1 species
AGUGAACGCUGGCGGUAGGCCUAACACAUGCAAGUCGAACGGCAGCACAGUAAGAGCUUGCUCUUACGGGUGGCGAGUGGCGGACGGGUGAGGAAUACAUCGGAAUCUACUUUUUCGUGGGGGAUAACGUAGGGAAACUUACGCUAAUACCGCAUACGACCUACGGGUGAAAGCAGGGGAUCUUCGGACCUUGCGCGAUUGAAUGAGCCGAUGUCGGAUUAGCUAGUUGGCGGGGUAAAGGCCCACCAAGGCGACGAUCUGUAGGUGGUCUGAGAGGAUGAUUGGCAGCCCGGGAGAGAGGACCAGGGGCCACAUCGAGAGGGAGGCACGGUGGGGAAUUUUUGGGGAGGGGGCAGAGGCCUAUCCCGCCCAAACGGGGAGGGCAAAAAGGGCCUUCGGGUUGUAAAGCCCUUUUGUGGGGAAAAAAAAAAAGCAGGUUAAUACCCCCGUUUUUGGCGGGACCCAAAAAAAAAGGCCCGGCUAACUUCGGG